CUAAAUAUCUUGAGUUAUUGUGGCAUAUUAAGUAUGCUACUAACACUAUAUAUAAUAAAUCAUGCAGCUGGAGCGUAAUCAUAGUCUCCGUCAUCAUCGUCUCCAUCUCCUUCUAAGCAUGUUGCUGGAGCAUAAUUGUAUCCAUCAUCACCAUAGGCAUCUCCAUCAGCUUCAUUCUUGUAUCCCAAACCAAUGAUCUUGAGAACAGUAGACAUUCUCUUCUGUUGUUCAGAACGAUAAGUGUAUUGGGGCUGGAUUGAGAAGACCAAUGCUAUGUGGCUGGUAUUCCUUGAAUUGAGAAUGGUUGUGAAGGGUAAGCUAUCUGCCUUUUAUAAAGGGAAGAGUCACCAUUGAACUCGUUUUGGCGUAGGGCUGGCAUGUGGGGAGUGUGGAGCAUUUCCUGAGGAAUGUGUCGAAUCAGAUUGAGGCUGGAUGUGAAGGUUAAGCUAUCUGCCUUUUAUAAAGGGAAGAGCCACCAUUGAGUGCAUUUUGGCAUAGGGCUGGCAUGUGGGGAGUGUGGAGUGUUUCCUGAGGAAUGUGCCGAACCUCGGAACCAGAAGCUUUGCUGAUUUUACCAACUUCUUGGAUAGCCACAUCAGAAAUGCACUUGACAUGUCAGAUUAUUGCUUUCAAAUGAUAGUAUGUGAUGGAGCAUCUUGUGGGUCCAUGCCUGGGUUGUAUAAAGGGUUGCAGUUCAAUUGAGGCUGAUUACCACACAUGAGUUCACAAUUAGAGAUCCAUCUUGCUCUGAAAUGAAGGAAACUGUUCUACAAUUGUCAGACUUUUUAAAGGAUUUUCAAAACUUAGUUUCAUAGGUCGAGCACAUGAGAUGUGGGUUGCAGACACUGAUGAGCUGGAGCGUAAUCAUAGUCUCCGUCAUCAUCAUCUCCAUCUUCUUCUAAGCAUGUUGCUGGAGCAUAAUUGUAUCCACCGUCACCAUAAGCAUCUCCAUGAGGUUCAUUCCUGUAUCCCAAACCAAUGAUCUUGAGAACAGUAGACAUUCUCUUCUGUUAUUCAGAACGAUGAGAGUAUUGGGGCAGAGCUUAGAAGACCGAUGCUAUGCAGCUAGUAUUCCUUGAAUUGAGCAUGGAUAUGAAGGGUAAGCUAUCUGCCUUUUAUAAAGGGAAGAGCCACCAUUGAACUUGUUUUGGCGUAGGGCUGGCAUGUGGAGAGUGUUGAGCGUUACCUGAGGAAUGUGCCGAAUCAGAUUGAGGAUGGAUGUGAAGGGUAAGCUAUCUGCCUUCUAUAAAGGGAAGAGCCACCAUUGAACUCAGUUUGGCAUAAGGCUGGCAUGUGGGGAGUGUGGAGUGUUUCCUGAGGAAUGUGCCAAACCAGAAGCUUUGCUGAAUGUACCAACUUCUUGAGUAGCCACAUCAGAAGGGAACUUGACAUGUCAGCUUAUUGCUGUCAAAUGAUACUGUUUAUGGAGCAUCUUUUGGGCCAUGCCUGGGUCAUAUAAAGGUCUGACUAUUGUGCAUAUAUGAUGGUUGGCAAAGGAAUCUUAUUAUCAAUGUGGAUUCUGGAAUAUAGAUAUGCUAAACUUAUUGUGAAGAAACUAUCUUAGGAGCAUGAUUACAGUGAUUUAUUCAUCGCUAGAAAUUGAAAACCUGAAUAGUCUUCUACUCAUCUACAGUGCUUGCAAAAUAAGCAUGAAUAAGCUAAAUUAAAUCCAUCAGAAAUAAAAUGUUACACGUGGCUUAUAUGCUCCAGAACACCCUCCCCCACCCCUCUUCCCCUUCUCAAGUUAUAUACUUUGUAGAUAUACUAGAAAUUCUUUGUAUCUUUAAGGUUGAAUACUUAUAGGAUCUAUGUUGACUAGAAAUACUUUCUCCAUAUGAAACUUAAUCUAUUUUUUACUCCUGAAAUUCUCUGUGGUAAAAAGUUAGCCAGGAUUGCAGUUACAUUGAGGCUGAUGACCAUACAUGAGUGCACAAUUAGAGAUCCAUCUUGCUCUACAAUCGCCAGACUUUUUUUCAGGAAUUUCAAAACUUAAUAUCAUCGGUUGAGCACAUGAGAAGUGGGUUGCAGACACUGAUGAGCUGGAGCGUAAUCAUAGUCUCCAUCAUCAUCGUCUCCAUCUCCUUCUAAGCAUGUUGCUGGAGCAUAAUUGUAUCCAUCAUCACCAUAGGCAUCUCCAUCAGAUUCAUUCCUGUAUCCCAAACCAAUGAUCUUGAGAACAGCAGACAUUCUUUUCUGUUAUUAGAACGAUGAGCGUAUUGGGGCAGGGUUUAGAAGACCAAUGCUAUGCUAGUAUUCCUUGAAUUGAGAAUGGAUGUGAAGGGUAAACUAUCUGCCUUUUAUAAAGGGAAGAACCACCAUUCAACUCGUGUUGACACAGGGCUGGCACGUGGCCAUGUGGGGAGUGUGGAGUGUUACCUGAAGAAUGUGUCGAAUCAGAUUGAGGAUGGAUGUGAAGGAUAAGCUAUCUGCCUUUUAUAAAGGGGCGAGCCACCAUUGAACGCAUUUUGGCAUAGCGCUGGCAUGUGGGGAGUGUGGAGUGUUUCUUGAGGAAUGUGCCAAACCAGAGGCUUUGCUGAAGUUACCAAUUUCUUGCGUAUCCACAUCAGAAAUGCACUUGACAUGUCAGCUUAUUGCUGUCUUAGUUGUAGAAAGGUGAGACUAUUCUGCAUAGAUGGUGGUUGGCAAAGGAAUCUUAUUAUCAAUGUGGACUGUGGAAUAUAGAUAUGCUAAACUCUUUAUGAAGAAACUAUCUAAGGAGCAUGUUUACAGUGAUUUAUUCAUCUCUUGAAAUUGAAAACCUGAAUAGUCUUCUACACAUCUACAGUGCUUGCAAAAUAAGCAUGAAUAAGCUAAAUUAAAUCCAUCAGAAAGAAAAUGUUACAUGUGGCUUAUAAGCUCCACAACACCCUCCCCCACCCCUCUUCCCCCUCUCAAGUUAGAUAGUUUGUAGAUAUACUUAAAAUUCUUUGUAUCUUUAAGGUUGAAUACUUAUAGGAUCUAUGUUGACUAGAAAUACUUUCUCCAUGUGAAACUUAAUCUGUUUUU